AAAGUCGUAACAAGGUCUCCGUUGGUGAACCAGCGGAGGGAUCAUUAGAGAAUAGGACCGCCUAGUCGUGGCUCUACCAACCCCUGUGGACGAUACCUUGUAGAUGUUGCCUCGGCGCGUGGGGCGCGAGCGCUACAGCGAGAGUUGCAGCGCGCUGCGCCCCGCCGCCGGCAGCCCAACCAAAACGCUCCGGACAAAGCUCAGCGCUCUCUCUGAACACAAAAACUUUUAACGAGUAAAAACUUUUGGCAACGGAUCUCUUGGCUCUG
rnacentral:misc_RNA from 1 species